GACGGAGGAUGCAAGCGUUAUCCGGAAUGAUUGGGCGUAAAGCGUCCGCAGGUGGCAGUUCAAGUCUGCUGUCAAAGACCGGGGCUUAACUUCGGAAAGGCAGUGGAAACUGAACAGCUAGAGUAUGGUAGGGGCAGAGGGAAUUCCUGGUGUAGCGGUGAAAUGCGUAGAGAUCAGGAAGAACAUCGGUGGCGAAGGCAGUUCUCUGGGCCGUAACUGACGCUGAGGAGCGAAAGCGUGGGGAGCGAACAGG
rnacentral:rRNA from 1 species